rnacentral:rRNA from 1 species
UGAGACACGGCCCAGACUCCUACGGGAGGCAGCAGUGGGGAAUAUUGCACAAUGGGCGAAAGCCUGAUGCAGCGACGCCGCGUGAGGGAUGACGGCCUUCGGGUUGUAAACCUCUUUCAGUAGGGAAGAAGCGAAAGUGACGGUACCUGCAGAAGAAGCACCGGCUAACUACGUGCCAGCAGCCGCGGUAAUACGUAGGGUGCGAGCGUUAUCCGGAAUUAUUGGGCGUAAAGAGCUCGUAGGCGGUUUGUCGCGUCUGUCGUGAAAGUCCGGGGCUUAACCCCGGAUCUGCGGUGGGUACGGGCAGACUAGAGUGCAGUAGGGGAGACUGGAAUUCCUGGUGUAGCGGUGGAAUGCGCAGAUAUCAGGAGGAACACCGAUGGCGAAGGCAGGUCUCUGGGCUGUAACUGACGCUGAGGAGCGAAAGCAUGGGGAGCGAACAGGAUUAGAUACCCUGGUAGUCCAUGCCGUAAACGUUGGGCACUAGGUGUGGGGACCAUUCCACGGUUUCCGCGCCGCAGCUAACGCAUUAAGUGCCCCGCCUGGGGAGUACGGCCGCAAGGCUAAAACUCAAAGGAAUUGACGGGGGCCCGCACAAGCGGCGGAGCAUGCGGAUUAAUUCGAUGCAACGCGAAGAACCUUACCAAGGCUUGACAUGUUCUCGAUCGCCGUAGAGAUACGGUUUCCCCUUUGGGGCGGGUUCACAGGUGGUGCAUGGUUGUCGUCAGCUCGUGUCGUGAGAUGUUGGGUUAAGUCCCGCAACGAGCGCAACCCUCGUUCCAUGUUGCCAGCACGUCGUGGUGGGGACUCAUGGGAGACUGCCGGGGUCAACUCGGAGGAAGGUGAGGACGACGUCAAAUCAUCAUGCCCCUUAUGUCUUGGGCUUCACGCAUGCUACAAUGGCCGGUACAAUGGGUUGCGAUACUGUGAGGUGGAGCUAAUCCCAAAAAGCCGGUCUCAGUUCGGAUUGGGGUCUGCAACUCGACCCCAUGAAGUCGGAGUCGCUAGUAAUCGCAGAUCAGCAACGCUGCGGUGAAUACGUUCCCGGGCCUUGUACACACCGCCCGUCAAGUCACGAAAGUUGGUAACACCCGAAGCCGGUGGCCUAACCCUUGUGGGGGGAGCCGUCGAAGGUGGGACCAGCGAUUGGGACUAAGUCGUAACAAGGUAGCCGUACCGGAAGGUGCGGCUG